rnacentral:lncRNA from 1 species
UCCAUGCUUAUGUUUACUCCAUGCUAAGGGUUCUUGAGUCGCUCAUUUCAGCAGAUGAGCAUCAUUUCAUAGAGUUGAUCUGGUCAGCCUUAAGGAAACUAGAUACAUGCCGUAAUCUAGCAAUCCUAACCCUAAACCUCCAAGAGUCCUUUUUAGUCAUAACGUCGCACAGAGAAUCGGAGGUGUCUAAUAUUUUUUCCGAAAAUCAACGCACAAUGUCACACAAAGAAUUGAAAACAUAGAUAACAUAACAACACGAUCAGCAAUAAGAACUAGAGCAAAAUGAAUGGAUACCAAACAACAUGCGUGUAUAUUUACACACAAGAGGAAAGACGAAGGAUAUCCACCCCCAAAAUCAAGUACUUUAACGACUAAAAUUGAUAUUGGGAUAACAACUCAACAUUUUGACAUAUAAAUUUGCAACAGAAACAUAAAGAUUUCUAACCUAUGAAAUGAGUAAAGUUAUAUAGAUUACAAAUCAAUACUAACAACAGCCAAUUGAAGACAUUUACGAAAUCUAAUAAACUAACCUUUUUACCAAUCAAAACCAUUUCUCCUCUAUGAUUUUCUUCACUUUUUCAGUUUUCUUUCUCAGUUCCAAACCCUCUCUUUUUUUAUAUAUAUUUUUUUUCUCUCAAUUUAUAGACUAAAUUGAUGAAUGUUUGUGACCAUUGAAUAAUUUUAAGUUUGGAUUAUUGUAUGUUUUGGCAAGGAAACUGAAUUUGCAGGGAUGGGAUUGGAUUGGGAAGAAGAGGCUCACCUUUUUGAUAGAGUGUAAACUUGGUGGAAACUUAUUAAGGAAUCGGUAAGCUGCAA